rnacentral:lncRNA from 1 species
CGGGAGGCGGCGCCGCAGGAGCCAGCGCUGUGCGCUCCUACUCCAGCAGUUUGUUCAGGGCGGAGAUGCACACCUGGCAAGGAAGACGGGGCCAAGUCCACGUCUACACUGGCCCACCCACUGCUGCCUGAAACUGGACAGGAUCCCCGUCACCAAGCCCAGAGUAACCUGGUGUGGGUUUAGCCAGAGCCAGCCUGCUUGCCCGGGAUGGGCUGGGGCCCACUACCUGACUGUGGUGCUGUAGCCCUGGAGCUGGGCUCGGCCUGCUGGCAGAGGACCCCCCUGCUUCCUGGUUCUUCCCAGCUGACCCUUGAGGAAAGGGGGCAGCCUAGUCCCAGCGCCCCAGGAGCCUGUUGGCACCUGGUGGGGUGGUCAC